UACGGAGGGAGCUAGCGUUGUUCGGAAUUACUGGGCGUAAAGCGCACGUAGGCGGCUUUGUAAGUUAGAGGUGAAAGCCCGGGGCUCAACUCCGGAAUUGCCUUUAAGACUGCAUCGCUAGAAUUGUGGAGAGGUAAGUGGAAUUCCGAGUGUAGAGGUGAAAUUCGUAGAUAUUCGGAAGAACACCGGUGGCGAAGGCGGCCCACUGGUCCGGUACUGACGCUGAGGUGCGAAAGCGUGGGGAGCAAACAGG
rnacentral:rRNA from 1 species